GUGGAACUCCAUGUGUAGCGGUGAAAUGCGUAGAUAUGUGGAAGAACACCAGUGGCGAAAGCGGCUUGCUAGAUCGUAACUGACGUUGAGGCUCGAAAGUAUGGGUAGCAAACGGGAUUAGAUACCCCGGUAGUCCAUACCGUAAACGAUGGGUGCUAGUUGUUAAGAGGUUUCCGCCUCCUAGUGACGUAGCAAACGCAUUAAGCACCCCGCCUGAGGAGUACGGCCGCAAGGCUAAAACUUAAAGGAAUUGACGGGGACCCGCACAAGCGGUGGAGCAUGUGGUUUAAUUCGAAGAUACGCGAAAAACCUUACCAGGUCUUGACAUACCAAUGAUCGCUUUUGUAAUGAAAGCUUUUCUUCGGAACAUUGGAUACAGGUGGUGCAUGGUCGUCGUCAGCUCGUGUCGUGAGAUGUUGGGUUAAGUCCCGCAACGAGCGCAACCCUUGUUAUUAGUUGCCAGCAUUUAGUUGGGCACUCUAAUGAGACUGCCGGUGAUAAACC
rnacentral:rRNA from 1 species